rnacentral:rRNA from 1 species
ACGGAAGGCAGCAGUGAGGAAUAUUGGACAAUGGUCGGAAGACUGAUCCAGCCAUGCCGCGUGAAGGAGUAAUGUCCUAUGGAUUGUAAACUUCUUUUGUACGGGAGCAAUAAGGUGUAUGCAUACACCGAUGAGAGUACCGUACGAAUAAGCAUCGGCUAACUCCGUGCCAGCAGCCGCAGUAAUACGGAGGAUGCGAGCGUUAUCCGGAUUUAUUGGGUUUAAAGGGUGCGUGGGCGGAAUGACAAGUCAGCGGUGAAACGCAAGGGCUCAACCCUUGACCUGCCGUUGAAACUGCCAAUCUGGAAUACGGAUGCUGUGGGAGGAAUGUGUGGUGUAGCGGUGAAAUGCAUAGAUAUCACACAGAACACCGAUUGCGAAGGCAUCUCACAAAUCCGUCAUUGACGCUGGGGCACGAAAGUGUGGGGAUCAAACAGGAUUAGAUACCCUGGUA